GUCUCCAGCCAUACCACCCUGAAUGCACCCAAUCUUGUCUGAUCUUGGAAGCUAAGCAGGGUCGAGCCUGGUUAGGACUUGGUAUGGGAGGAU
rnacentral:rRNA from 1 species